GAUGAACGCUAGCGACAGGCUUAACACAUGCAAGUCGAGGGGCAGCGGGGGUGCAGGCUUGCCUGCACCUGCCGGCGACCGGCGCACGGGUGAGUAACACGUAUGGAACCUGCCCGCCACAGGGGGAUAACCCGGGGAAACCCGGCCUAAUACCCCAUGCCGCCCGGACCGGGCAUCCGGUCCGGGCGAAAGGAGGAAUCCGGUGGCGGCUGGGCAUGCGGCGCAUUAGCUUGACGGCGGGGUAACGGCCCACCGUGGCGACGAUGCGUAGGGGUUCUGAGAGGAAGGCCACCCACACUGGAACUGAGACACGGUCCAG
rnacentral:rRNA from 1 species